GUGUCAGCCGCCGCGGUAAUACGAAGGGGGCUAGCGUUGUUCGGAAUUACUGGGCGUAAAGCGUGCGCAGGCGGUUUUUCAAGUCAGAGGUGAAAGCCCCGGGCUCAACCCGGGAAUGGCCUUUGAGACUGGAUGGCUAGAGUGUGAGAGAGGUGAGUGGAAUUCCCAGUGUAGAGGUGAAAUUCGUAGAUAUUGGGAAGAACACCCGUGGCGAAGGCGGCUCACUGGCUCGCAACUGACGCUCAUGCACGACAGCGUGGGGAGCAAACAGGAUUAGAAACCCCCGUAGUCC
rnacentral:rRNA from 1 species